CUUUGGCCCGACAGACGACCCGGAUUCACAUAAAUUACGCAGCUUUCAUCGGUUUAGUAUUGAUAAGUGGCUAUUUUAUCACUAAUUGCCUCGCCCAUUGCUAUUUUCUCUGUGAUUUCUACCUCGAAAUAACUCCGAGGGGAGUGCGAAGUGGCGGAAGAAGGAAAUAGAAAAUAAAAGAUUCUGGGCGGCUACAAAACCGGCGGGUGGACAGACUCCAGGGCCUGCUGCCGCGUUGGAGUGUGAGUCUGAUACAGCAUCAUACUGGCAGAACGCCCGGCAAUGUUUAUUUUUUUGGGAGACUACGUAGAGAGGAGAAGCCUAAGUUCCUUAACUCUGCCAUCGCCUCUCCCAUCCAGUCAAGCCAGGGCUCCCUUGAGCGAGGAGCACAUGCAGACACUCGGCUCCUGGAAGUUUGGCCGCGCAAAGUGUUUGGAGCCAUAAGGUAAGGUCAUGGAAGAACGAGUUUAGCU